GUUUCGUUCCUCGGCAUCUCAAGCGCAGCAGCGAUGGUGGACAUCGACCACCGGAUGGCCGGGCUGGCCCCGUCGGUGGCGCACACCGCGGCGCUGCGCCGCCUCUCGACGCGCGCCGCCGCGGGGCCGUCAUCGGCGUCCGCGUCGCCGCGCCACGGCCUCCACUCCUUCCACGCCGUGGCUGCAGGCGUGCUCUCCCACCUCCGCGAGUCCGGGGUGGCCGUCCUCCCGGGCCUCUCGGACGCGGAGCUGGUCCGCGCGGAGGCCGAGUUCGGGUUCACGUUCCCGCCCGACCUCCGCGCGGUGCUCGCCCUGGGCGUGCCGUCGGGGCCCGGGUUCCCGGACUGGCGCGGCCGGGCCGGCCUCCGCGCCGCGUUCGACCUCCCCGCGGCGGCGGCGUCGCUCCAGGUCGCGAGGGGCGCGCUGUGGCCGCGGUGCUGGGGCCGGCGGCCGGCCGACCCGGGCCGCGCGCUGCGGCUCGCGCGCUCCGCCGUACGCCGCGCGCCGCCGCUCGUGCCGCUCUUCGACCGCUGCUACCUGCCCUGCCGCCCCUGCCUCGCGGGGAACCCGGUGUUCUUCGUCGCCGACGACCGCGUCCUCUGCUGCGGCCUCGACCUGCUCUACUUCUUCACGCGCGACUCCUCCUUCCAGCCGGCGGACCGCGCCGUCGUCUCCUCCUCGUCCCCGCUCUCCGCCGGCGCGAGCAGGCCGUCGUGCACGCGCCGGAGCCUCGACGCCGUCCAGGCCCCGCGCUGGAUCGAGUUCUGGAGCGACGCCGCGUCGGACCGCCGCCGCCGCGACUCCUCGUCCUCCGAAGCAUCCACCGCCUCCUCGUCCUCCUCCUCGUCGUCGUCCUCAGGAUGCCCAUCGCCACCCCGGCGGCCAACCCCGCGGUGGGUCGACAGCUACCUCGACGAGCUGGGGUCAAUGCUGAAGAAAGGGGGCUGGAGGGACCGAGAAGUGGACGAGAUGGUCGAGGUCACCGCCUCCGGGUUCUUGGACGACGGCGAGGAGGCCCCAACACCCGACUCCGAGGCUAUCCUCGACGCGCUGGUCCUCAAGACCGACCGGUGCUCGGACUCGCUCCGGCGCGCCGGGUGGACCGCCGAGGACGUGUCGGACGCGCUGGGGCUCGACUUCCGGCGCGGCGAGGAGCGCUCCCGGUCGGCCGUGCGGAUCCCGCCGGAGAUCGCCGCCAAGGUCCAACGCCUCGCGCAAGCGCUGGCGCGCCCGUGACGUGACGUCGAUCGAUCUCCCCCGUUCCCGCCGCCGGAGGCUUCCCAUUCUUUGUUUAUCUCCAGUCCGAAUCGAACUGCACUAGUAUAAAAGUGAGAAAGUAAACUAGGCCAUGUUCGCGCGAGUGAAUUAUGCCGUGCUCAUGUGCGCGAAGCACCGUGCGUUGUAAGGAUACAGGAUCCCAGAAGAGAAAUGAGAGCUAAAUUAGCCGAGAAGACACAUUUGCAGUUAAAAACGCUCCAUACUCUGCAACGGACUGGUGAAUCUUUUAAAUGUUUAUUUUGAGUGUGUACCGUUAUUGGAUACCCCCCGUUCGUUAGUACGUCCAAGCUUGAACAACCACGG
rnacentral:misc_RNA from 1 species